rnacentral:misc_RNA from 1 species
UUUCCGUAGGUGAACCUGCGGAAGAAUCAUUAGUGAAUAUUAGGGCGUCUACUUCGGUAGGGCCUGACUUCCACUUUCUAACUCUGUGCACUUAUUUGGCGGAAAAGGGAAUUAGUAAUCUGUCUAAUGGCGAUUGCGACUUCUUACUUUCUGCGGCUUACUUUAAACACUAGUCAAAGUAUGUAACGAAAUAUCGAAACAAAUAAAAACUUUCAACAACGGAUCUCUUGGCUCUC